rnacentral:lncRNA from 1 species
CAAAAAUUGUUCCAUGAAGCCAUCAAAUUGAUCAGAGGUGGUGCAUUUUGGAAGUAGGUCAUAUCAAACCCUUGAUGAAUUUUCACUUAUUACUUCCUCAAUUGGUAAUGCUUGUGUGGAUGAUUUGUUGGAGUAUGUUGACGGGGUUAAACUGCUGAUAUAAGGGGCAUUUUCCGAGUGGCUUAGGUGGUCGGUUGAGGGUGAUUUGAAGGUGGUGAUGGGGUUGGGGGAGAAGGAAAUGGU